UUUAAUGGCCGCAGUAAUUUAACUGUGCGAAGGUAGCAUAAUCAAUAGUUUUUUAAUUGAAAGCUUGUAUGAAAGGUUGGACGAGAUAAUAUCUGUCUUUAUUAUAAUUAUUUUAGAAUUUAAUUUUUAAGUUAAAAAGCUUAAAUUUUUUUAAAAGACGAGAAGACCCUAUAGAGUUUUAUAAUUUAAAAUUUAUAAUUAUUUUAGAUUAUUUAAUUUUGUAAGUUUAUAUUUAUUUUAUUGGGGUAAUAGAAAGAUUUAUAUAAUUCUUUUUUUUUUCAUUUAUUUAUUUAUAUAUUUAUGAUCCUUUUUUAGAGAUUAUAAGAUUAAAUUACCUUAGGGAUAACAGCGUAAUUUUUUUUGAAAGUUCUUAUUGAUAAAAAAGAUUGCGACCUCGAUGUUGGAUUAAAGAUUAAUUUAGGUGCAAAAGUUUAAAUUUUUGGUCUGUUCGACCAUUAAAUCUUUACAUGAUCUGAGUUCAGACCGGUGUGAGCCAGGUCGGUUUCUAUCUUUAUUUAUAUAUAAUAUUUUAGUACGAAAGGACCAAAUAUUAAUUAUAUUAAUUAUUAUUUUGAAUAUUAUU
rnacentral:rRNA from 1 species